rnacentral:rRNA from 1 species
ACGAACGCUGGCGGCGUGCUUAACACAUGCAAGUCGAACGGAAAGGCCCUGCUUUUGUGGGGUGCUCGAGUGGCGAACGGGUGAGUAACACGUGAGUAACCUGCCCUUGACUUUGGGAUAACUUCAGGAAACUGGGGCUAAUACCGGAUAGGAGCUCCUGCUGCAUGGUGGGGGUUGGAAAGUUUCGGCGGUUGGGGAUGGACUCGCGGCUUAUCAGCUUGUUGGUGGGGUAGUGGCUUACCAAGGCUUUGACGGGUAGCCGGCCUGAGCGGGGGACCGGCGACAUUGGGACUGAGGGACGGCCCAGACUCCUACGGGAGGCAGCGGUGGGGAAUAUUGCGCAGUGGGCGGAAGCCUGAUGCAGCAACGCCGCGUGCGGGAUGAAGGCCUUCGGGUUGUAAACCGCUUUCGCCUGUGACGAAGCGUGAGUGACGGUAAUGGGUAAAGAAGCACCGGCUAACUACGUG